rnacentral:rRNA from 1 species
GGCUUUGGGAGCGUGCACUGCCUCUGUGAGACCGUAGCAAGACGGACUAYWGCGAAAGCAUUUGGCAAGAAUGUCUUCAUUAAUCAAGAACGAAAGUCAGAGGUUCGAAGGCGAUCAGAUACCGCCCUAGUUCUGACCGUAAACGAUGCCAACUAGCGAUCCGCCGGCGGAUUUAUUCGCCCUGGUGGGGAGCUUCCCGGAAACGAAAGUCUUCCGGUUCCGGGGGAAGUAUGGUUGCAAAGCUGAAACUUAAAGGAAUUGACGGAAGGGCACCACCAGGAGUGGAGCCUGCGGCUUAAUUUGACUCAACACGGGGAAACUCACCCGGCCCGGACACCGUAAGGAUUGACAGAUUGAUAGCUUUUUCAUGAUUCGGUGGAUGGUGGUGCAUGGCCGUUCUUAGUUCGUGGAGCGAUUUGUCUGGUUUAUUCCGAUAACGAGCGAGACUCUAGCCUACUAAAUAGUUGGCUCAUUGCUACUGUGGGCACAACUUCUUAGAGGGAUUUUCGGUGUUCAGCCGCACGAAAUUGAGCAAUAACAGGUCUGUGAUGCCCUUAGAUGUCCGGGGCUGCACGCGCGCUACACUGGCAAAAUCAGCGUGCUUGUCCUUCCCCGAAAGGGGUUGGUAAACCGGUGAAAAUUUGCCGUGAUUGGGAUCGGACAUUGCAAUUAUUGUCCGUGAACGAGGAAUUCCUUGUAGGGGCGAGUCAUCAACUCGCUCUGAUUACGUCCUCCCC